rnacentral:rRNA from 1 species
AUUGCCCCAGUAACGGCGAGUGAAGCGGCAACAGCUCAAAUUUGAAAUCUGGCCCCAGGCCCGAGUUGUAAUUUGCAGAGGAUGCUUUUGGCGCGGUGCCUUCCGAGUUCCCUGGAACGGGACGCCAUAGAGGGUGAGAGCCCCGUACGGUUGGACACCAAGCCUUUGUAAAGCUCCUUCGACGAGUCGAGUAGUUUGGGAAUGCUGCUCUAAAUGGGAGGUACAUUUCUUCUAAAGCUAAAUAUUGGCCAGAGACCGAUAGCGCACAAGUAGAGUGAUCGAAAGAUGAAAAGCACUUUGAAAAGAGGGUUAAACAGCACGUGAAAUUGUUAAAAGGGAAGCGCUUGUGACCAGACUUGCGUCCGGUGAAUCACCCAGCUCUCGCGGCUGGGGCACUUCGCCGGCACAGGCCAGCAUCAGCUUGCCGUCGGGGACAAAAGCUUCAGGAACGUAGCUCCUCUCGGGGAGUGUUAUAGCCUGUUGUAUAAUACCCUUCGGCGGGCUGAGGUACGCGCUCCGCAAGGAUGCUGGCGUAAUGGUCAUCAGCGACCCGUCUUGAAACACGGACCAAGGAGUCAACCUUAUGUGCGAGUGUUUGGGUGUUAAACCCCUACGCGUAAUGAAAGUGAACGCAGGUGAGAGCUUCGGCGCAUCAUCGACCGAUCCUGAUGUUCUCGGAUGGAUUUGAGUAAGAGCAUAUAGGGUUGGACCCGAAAGAAGGUGAACUAUGCGUGUGUAGGGUGAAGCCAGAGGAAACUCUGGUGGAGGCUCGCAGCGGUUCUGACGUGCAAAUCGAUCGUCAAACAUGCGCAUGGGGGCGAAAGACUAAUCGAACCUUCUAGUAGCUGGUUUCCGCGAU